rnacentral:rRNA from 1 species
UACGUAGGGGGCUAGCGUUGUCCGGAAUCAUUGGGCGUAAAGAGCGUGUAGGCGGCCCGGUAAGUCCGCUGUAAAAGUCAAAGGCUCAACCUUUGAAUGUCAGUGGAUACUGCCGGGCUAGAGUCCGGAAGAGGCGAGUGGAACUCCUGGUGUAGCGGUGAAAUGCGCAGAUAUCAGGAGGAACACCAAUAGCGAAGGCAGCUCGCUGGGACGGUACUGACGCUAAGGCGCGAAAGCGUGGGGAGCGAACAGG